rnacentral:lncRNA from 1 species
CCUGUCUAACUUAUCGCUGUGUCACAUCCAGGGAUAAACAGAUCCCGAAGACAAAAAGAUGAUAGAAUUUGGCUGCUGCAGAUAAUUAAAAUCUCUGCCUCUACCACAAAGACGGCCUCCAACUUCCUCAUCUAGAGGCAGAAGGAAAAACUAUUGUCUCCACUCAACGAAAAGGAAGCAGGAAGACAGAAGGGCCCCGUGUGUGGACAGUUUUCAUUGGAGCUCAGAACACCUUUCUAGCGGCUUGCCUGGGAGGCUGAUAGACUAGGGCGGAACAUUCCAUCCUCUUGAAAUAUACUGCUGUG